ensembl:lncRNA
GGCCACCUGUGCUCUGCUGCCCUGACCAAGACGACACUUGUUCCAGAGGAUGUUACUGUGACCAAUACUGUUUGGAAGCUAGAGAUUGUUGCCCUGAUUAUAAUUUAACCUGUCAACUAUCUUUAACCACUGCACCAAUAAGAGGACCGGAUAAAACCAGCAACAGCACAACUAGAAUGACAAACACCACACAAAUGUCUCCAUCUACAGAAUUGUCAACAUGGAGAGGAAACUCCACAACAUCAUCUUCACCAUUUCAAGAGACCACAACGACACAACCCACCUCUGCCACUAAUGCAAACACCCAAACACACAAUGAUACAUCUGCACUUGGAUAUGACAGCCCAACUACAUCCAUACCUGUAACUGCAGCACCCAGCACAACAGACAUCAACCCGUCUUUUUUGCAUAAUGUUACAACCUCUGAAUCAACAUCACUUAAUACGACAUCAGGAAUCCUUGAUGGAAACACAACAACUACACCCACAGUGAAGAAUUAUACAACAGCCAGCACAACUACUCACAUUACAACAAACGCAUUGACAUCAUCCACAUUAUCAGCUACUCUAACAACCAACCAACCAAGUCCCAAUACCACAUAUAAUAGCACACAUUCACCAUCAGUUAACAUUUCAACUACAUCUGCAGACACUUCAACAGUUGCCUCUGGUUCAAAAACCAGCAGUACUUCCACAACACAACUGGAUGUCACUCCAUGGCCAACACAGACAGAGUCAUCUAAUACCGCUGUUAGCCAAGGAAACAGCAUCAGCACAACGACAGAUUCUGAUAGGACCAAAACAUCAAUCUCCACCCAUUCAGGAGAAGCAACACAAUCGAGGACCACAAACCUGCAGACCAGCAGUUCCACAUCUCCACUGGGAGACUCCACCACCAGCAGCACCAGCUUAAACAAUGAUUUCCAAACAGUGAUCUUUCACCUCAAUGCCUACAUUUUAUCUUCUAAUGGUGACAGUGAAGAUGUGAUUUUAGAGGCUUUCUCUAAUGACCUGCAUGCUUCCAGGACUACCCUAAAGUCAGGAGGAGAGAUUGUGGUCGACCGCUCCCACCCUGGAGCCAGGAUCUUCAUCACCAAAGCAAAAAAACCUAAUCUAAGAGUCAUGUAAAUACAAAACCAGAUUAACUUAUAUACCUGUUAUCAUACCUGUCAAGUAUCCCAUUUUGGCCGGGAAACUCCCGUAUUUUACCCCUCUUUCCCGCCAUCUUCUCGUAUUAGUAUUUUCCCAUAAAUAUCCCCUAUUUUAAUGUAAUAAUAAUUAAAAGAUGCCUUACUAAACUGAACGACAUCACUAGCCUCGCAAGAACUGCCACAUGAAAUGGUCUGGCUUGGUGGCAGUUCUCGCGAUAUUAGUGCCGACAGAGGCAACGAACCAGGAAACAACUCAGAACAGAGAUGAUGAAUGAAGAUGUUCCGGCAAAAAAAAAAAAAACAACUUGUGUAAAUACGUUGUAAAAUGUAACAGAGUUUAUCUUCCUAAAGAGCAACAGGAUGGGACAGAUCAGUAAAUUAGAUUUUAGCGUCUCCCACAGUGGAAGGAACAACGUAAGUCACCAUGAAAAAUCAGCCAAUCACAAGCGCCACAAAUAUACACUGCUUUAAAAAAGUGUUAAAUGAUGUAAAGUCUGUAAUAAAUGUGUCUAAUAAGUCA